rnacentral:lncRNA from 1 species
AGAAGGAAGGAACACCAGGGAUACCGGUUACUGGGCAUAUAAUAGGUGGCUAACCGAAGCGUGAAUUGGGGAAUAUUUCCAAGACACUCAUCAUCCAAAAGAAGGCUAAAAGCAAACUCUAACAGGAUGGACAUUCGAUUCCGCAGAGGGAUGCGAGUCUUACUUGACCAAGGAAGAACAAAAGGCUUCGACCAAAGAGUGCAUGAGAUAUGUUAUCU